GAAAACUGGGAACUGGUGGCCUGGAGCUAAUGCUACCCAAGGGAGGCGAAAAUACCAUUUCCCAGAGUUCCUGCUUAUCAAGACUGCUAUUAUCAGAUCAGGAAGGGCUAAACUUGAAAACCCCCCAGAUGCUGGUUUUGGCUCCGGACACGGUUUCGCUCAUGACUUUGUAUUGCCAAUACCACCGGGCACAGCACCUGGCUUAGCAGAGGCUCGGGUUCUUGUGAAUGAAUGAGUAUUCAGUUCCCCUACUGCACCUGCUUUCCUCGGAAGAACAUGGCCACUUGGCCAAGGGCGAUAGGCCGCCAGAAACCUUGGGGCGUCGAUGGCCAUGAAGCUAAGACGUGCCUGUAGUAUUCACAGACCCACUGCUGGGUGUCUGUCUACUUGACUUUCAUUUUAGUUUGCGUUCUGGAAAACGUCAAAGGUACACAAAAGUGGAGAGAAAGAUAUAAUAAGUCAGCAGAUAUCUAUCACUCAGCUUCAGCAGUUGUCAAAGCAAGGCCGAUCUGUCUCCUCCUCUGCCAUCCCCAGCCCAUCGGCCCUGGGCUCUCCUGGGGUAAACCUCCAGCAUCACUCUUCACUCGUGGAUCUGAACGUGCUGGAUGCGCUUCAGUCCACUUCAGCGAUCGUCCCUGUGCCGCAAGUUUCCCACCGUGAGCAGGUGACAGCCUGUUCAAGUUGGCCCCGGAGCCCUCUCGCUGUGACCCCAGCAGUCUUCAACAGCUUCCUUGCUUUCCGGUACGAGAUGUUCCAGGUUCAUCGUGCACAUAUCCUGCCCUAGACCUAAACCCGCCACUUCUCCGAAGCAUCCCGGCUGCUUUCGCUGGGAAUGGGAUUUCGAGAUUUUAAUGUGAGUAGCUGGUUGUGCUUAAAGCUACUGGGUUAGUCACUUUCUAGAGUCUAUCUACUCUCUGUUUGCCUCCCCUCUACACAGGAAGCCAACUUUGAUCUGCCUUUCUAUAUUCUUAAUUUAGGAUAUAAAUUAUUUUAUUUGCUCGCCCUAAAAUGUUUAGAAUUAAAACUAAUUAACAUUAUGCCAUCCCCUCGUGCAUGUGAAAACACUGUACAGGUGAUGCAUGUACCUACAGCACACACUCAACCAGCCAUCAGUUCUAAGUACCGGUAACAACACGUAACUUUUCUUCUCAAAAGUUCAAACUGACGAGGUACAAUCCAGAACUCCUAGCUAGUGCAACAGAGUACUCUUCCAUGUAUGCAAAGGCACCCUCAGAGGAAACAUACUCAUCCUUUUCUCCUUCAGCAAUCCUCUUACUGAGCAAUUUGGUAACGUCUACACAAAUUUUAAAUGCACAUACUUUAAGAAAAGCCAGGAAUUUUAAUUCUGGGAAUUUAUCUUUUAGAUAUAUUCACUCAUGUGUGAGAAAGGAUGUUCACCAACCACUUCUUAUGUGUGAUUGCAAAAAUCUGCAAACAAUCCAAAUAUACAUCAGUGGGGAAGUGGGGGAGUAAAUUACAGCCUAUCCACACGGUGGAAUGUGCUAGAGAAAUUGAAAAGAAUGAUGGAGAUAUACACCUACUCAUAUGAAAGGUCUCUGAAAUGUUAAAUGAAAAAAAAGAAUAAAGCAAGGUAUUUGCCUUACGAGUUGUCUCAUAUACACACAUCAUAUCCUACACACACAUACACGUUUCAUAGGAAUUCUUAUGCAUAAAUAACUUCAAAUCAAGGCACUGAAGUAGGAUGCCCACAUUUUUAUAAAACCUGGAGAGAGAAGACAGACAUACAGAGAACACUGGGCGGCCCAAGAAACCUUAACACUAGUGCUUGUCUUUGAGGAAGGGUGCUGAGAAGAACGGGAACUGAUUUUACGUCCUUCUACGUGAUCGAAUUCUUAUCGUAUAUGUUUUUACUU